UACGUAGGGUGCGAGCGUUGUCCGGAAUUAUUGGGCGUAAAGAGCUCGUAGGCGGUCUGUCGCGUCGGUCGUGAAAACUUGGGGCUUAACCCUGAGCUUGCGGUCGAUACGGGCAUGGACUGGAGUGCGGGCAGGGGAGACUGGAAUUCCUGGUGUAGCGGUGAAAUGCGCAGAUAUCAGGAGGAACACCGGUGGCGAAGGCGGGUCUCUGGGCCUGUGACUGACGCUGAGGAGCGAAAGCGUGGGGAGC
rnacentral:rRNA from 1 species